GAUGAACGCUAGCGGCAGGCUUAAUACAUGCAAGUCGAGGGGUAGCAAGAUUGUAGCAAUACAAUUGUUGACGACCGGCAAACGGGUGCGGAACACGUACACAACCUUCCUACAAGUGGGGAAUAGCCCAGAGAAAUUUGGAUUAAUACCCCGUAACAUAGCGAUGUGGCAUCACAUUGCUAUUAUAGCUUCGGCGCUUGUUGAUGGGUGUGCGGCUGAUUAGAUAGUUGGCGGGGUAACGGCCCACCAAGUCUACGAUCAGUAGCUGAUGUGAGAGCAUGAUCAGCCACACGGGCACUGAGACACGUGCCCGACUCCUACGGGAGGCAGUAGUAAGGAAUAUUGGACAAUGGACGCAAGUCUGAUCCAGCCAUGCCGCGUGAAGGAUUAAGGUCCUCUGGAUUGUAAACCUCUUUUAUAAGGGACGAAAAAAGGUCUUUCUAGAUCGUCUGACGGUACCUUAUGAAUAAGCACCGGCUAACUCCGUGCCAGCCGCCGCAGUAACAC
rnacentral:rRNA from 1 species